ACCGAAGCCCGUAGCCGCCUUCGGGCGUGACGGGUGGCUGGUAUCCUCCUUCUGAGGGGUGUAUGGCGCAGCUUGGGCCGGCUCUUUGGGUCGCGGAUUCCCAGUGUUGCGGCGGACCAUCCCUUGGGCAACUCAGUGGGGGCAAUUGGAUGGCCCGUAGGCACCUUUGGCGGCUCCGGCCCUGAAGGUGGCUCGGGGCUGGGUGUUGGGCUUCGGUCCACGUCCCGACCUUUUAACUAGCUCUGAUACCUCUUCAUUGAGGGUUGCCGGGGUGGUCAUUUCGUCUUUCGGGGCGGGAUGGCCUCUCGGGAAAGAUAGUUACCU
rnacentral:misc_RNA from 1 species